CUUAAUUUGGCUAUUGGCUAGCACUGUAGGGGUGCGUUUGAUUAUUUUUACACAUUGAACCAUGAGGAAAAUAUAAACACAGAUUAAAAAAUUUGACUUUCUGUCACACAUUUAGCAAACACACUCAGCCCGACAAAAACACAGUGUGGAAAAAAUAAGACAACAUCAUUUGUUUGUGCUUUUGUGUUGAAAUCAACCAACUAAUACAUAAUGCAAAGUGAUUUUUAAUUAAUUAUCUUUGAUUUGAACAAGCCAGGUAACAAGCAUAGUUGGUAAAAUGGCGCCUUUAAAACUUUAUUUACAUCAGGAAGAGAAACACUAAGGCUGGUCUAUGACAACAGACUAGCUACUCGGCAGCCUUUCUGAUUCGUUAGAGCACUGUGUUGCCGUGGUAUCAAUUAGUGUCUGGAAAUACCAUUGGUUAACGGCAAUGCCAAUCUGGCCUGAGGGGGCGGGGACAACAAAAGAAGCAGAUUCAUGUAUGGACAGACAGACAAAAGAAGCAGAGCAAGAGAGUAUGACUAACACAGAGAGAGAGAGAGAGAGAGAGAGAGAGAGAGAGAGAGAGAGAGAGAGAGAGAGAGAGAGAGAGAGAGAGAGAGAGAGAGAGAGAGAGAGAGAGAGAGAGAGAGAGAGAGAGAAAGAGAGAGAGAGAGAGAGAGAGAGAGAGAGAGAGGGCAGUUAGACAUUUAGAAAAACAGCGUGGAUUCUCAGCAAAUCAGGGAGCAGCAAUGGCCGACGUGACGGGAUCGUGCGAGUGAGGCCUACUCAGCGAAAUGUCAUAGUGACCACCUGGAAGGAGAAGACAUUAGACACAGUCAAAGACAUUUAGAGGAGGUUAUGGGUAACACAAGGAAGCCAAGGUCACCACGGUCACAAAGAGGAAUCAAGGACACUAAGAGAAGCCAAGGGCACUAAGAGAAAGUCAAGGGCCAUAUAAGGAAGUCAGGGACCAUAUAAGGCAGGCAAGGAUAGUAACAGGAAGUCAAGGAAAGUAACAGGAAGUCAGGGACAAUAUAAUGAAGUCAGGGACCAUUUAAGGACAGUAGGGGCAUUAACAAGAAGUCAAGGACAUUAUAAGGAAGUCAAGGACCAUAUAUGUUUUCAAGGCAUUAACAAGAAUUCAAUAACAUUAUGAGGGAGUCAAAGACACUAAGAGGCAGGGAAGGACCAUAUAUGGCAUCCAUAGCCAGGAUGCUGAAACAGAAAAAUAAUAAUAGCAUGACAGUUAUGGACCACGUUAACAGAGGUUGAGAGAGAGGUAGAGAAAGCUAGAAAGAGUGAGAGAGAGUAAGAGACGAGACACGAGAGAGAAAGAUUGAAGAGGAAAUAACAGCACCUGGGUAAAUGUUUAAAUUAAUCUCAUCUGGGAUUUUUGUGUGUGUGUGUGUGUAUGUGCAUGUGUUUGGUGUGUACGUGUGUAUGUGUGUGUGUGUGUGUGUGUGUGUGUGUGUGUGUGUGUGUGUGUGUGUGUGUGUGUGUGUGUGUGUGUGUGGGUGUGUGUGUGCGUGUGUGUGUGUGUUUGUGCGUGUUGAAGGCCCAAAAGGGUCACAACCAAACCUCAUUGUAAACUUUUAUUAUUUUUACCGUUUAAUACCAUUGUAAUUUAUCACGCUGUAAAAUGCAUUGUUUUGGUGGUUGGCGGCUGUUCUUUACAACGUUUCUCCACAACUCUACAAUGGCAUAAAAGUGGUCGUUUUGAUGGCUACUUAGUAAUGGUUAUUUAUCGCCGGCUAUAUAUUGACGGCUAUUUACCGACGCCGUUUAAGAGCUGAGCCCAAAACAACGUAAAAGACUGUAGUAUAGUUUGACCCUUCAUUACAAGGGUAUAAUUGGCUUUUAUGCAUAGCAGGCUACUACCAGAGUGCAUGUGGAAUGAGUACACUGGUGUAGGGUUGAGGAAAAACUGUGUGAAAGAUGGGUCUCUAACCAUGAAAACUGCGCAUUUUAAGGCCUAAUCCAUUACAAUGGUGUUAUGAAAGCUGAAACGUUGAAUUUGUGACCCCUUUGGCCAGCCAUACUGUGUGUGAGUGGGAGUUUGUGUGUGUCUGUAUAUAGCUGUGUGUGUUUGUGUGAGUGUGUGUGUAUACGUGUAUGUGUGUGUUUGUGUGUGUAUGUGUAUGUGUGCGCUCACAUGUAUGUGUUUUUGUGUGUUUGAGUGUAAGUGUGUGUGUGUGUGUGUGCGUGUGACUGUGUGUGUGUGGGUGUGUGCGUGUCUGUCUCUGUCUGUGUGUGUGUGACUGUGUGUGUGUGUGUGUGUGUGUGUGCAUGGAUGGGCACGAGUAGUAAAUUCCAAACUCGAGUGAUCGAAGGAAUUCCUCGAGGAUCAAUCGAGUACUCGUUAAAUCAAAUCUAUUUUUAGAAUGCAACGCAUCUGCAGCAGGAAUAGGCCUGACGAUGAACGGCAAUUACCAACCAAACAUGUAAUGCUUAUUCUCCAUCAAAACAGUCAGAGUUAUCAGAGUAUUCAUUAUUUAUUUUUGCAAACGUUCAAAACACAUUUUCCUUACAAAAAUAAAUAUGCGUCUCACAAUUUAAAUCACGUCGAACCAAGGCCUGCGACAGUUUUUUAAAAAAACGAAACAAGUAGCCUAACCAUUGCAAAUAAAUGAUUAAAGCUGCAAAUAAAACGGCAGCAAAUGGACUAUGGAAAUACUCAGCGUUGUGAUCUUCUCUACACGCCCGGGAUUACAGCUGCGUCUUGC
ensembl:lncRNA